rnacentral:rRNA from 1 species
UGUGUAGGCGGCGAUGUAAGUGUGGGGUGAAAGCCCACGGCUCACCCGUGGAAUUGCUUCGCAUACUGCAUUGCUAGAGGACGGUAGGGGAGAGCGGAACUCCUGGAGGAGCGGUGAAAUGCGUAGAUAUCAGGAGGAACACCAGUGGCGAAGGCGGCUCUCUGGUCCGUUACUGACGCUGAGACACGAAAGCUAGGGUAGCGAACG